AAGAAAGUGACAGAGUGGUUAUGUGGUUGGCUUGAAAUCAACUCAUGGAGGUUCGAUUCCUUCUUUUCUCG
rnacentral:tRNA from 2 species